GGCCUACCAUGGUGGUAACGGGUAACGGGGUGUUAGGGCACGACACCGGAGAGGGAGCCUGAGAAACGGCUACCACAUCCAAGGAUGGCAGCAGGCGCGCAAAUUACCCAAUCCCGACACGGGGAGGUAGUGACAAUAAAUAACAAUACGGGGUUCUUUCGGAUCUCGUAAUUGGAAUGAGUACAAUUUAAAUCUCUUAACGAAGAACAAUUGGAGGGCAAGUCUGGUGCCAGCAGCCGCGGUAAUUCCAGCUCCAAUAGCGUAUAUUAAAGUUGUUGCAGUUAAAAAGCUCGUAGUUGAAUUUCGGGGUCAGCAGGUCGGUCGUGCCACUGGUAUGAACUGGCCUCGCUGAUCCCUCCCUCUUGACGAACUGUGAUGCCAUUAAUUUGGUGUCGCAGGGAGUCAGGACUGUUACUUUGAAAAAAUUAGAGUGUUUAAAGCAGGCAUACGCUUGAAUACAUUAGCAUGGAAUAAUGAAAUAGGACGUUCGAUCCUAUUUUGUUGGUUUCUAGGAUUGACGUAAUGAUUAAUAGGGAUAGUUGGGGGCAUUAGUAUUCAAUUGUCAGAGGUGAAAUUCUUGGAUUUAUUGAAGACUAACUACUGCGAAAGCAUUUGCCAAGGAUGUUUUCAUUAAUCAAGAACGAAAGUUAGGGGAUCGAAGACGAUCAGAUACCGUCGUAGUCUUAACCAUAAACUAUGCCGACUAGGGAUCGGAUGAUGUUAUUUUUAAUGACUCAUUCGGCGCCUUACG
rnacentral:rRNA from 1 species